GACGAACGCUGGCGGCGUGCCUAACACAUGCAAGUUGAGCGACUAACCUGGCUUCGGCCAGGGGCAAAGCAGCGAACGGGUGAGUAACACGUGGGUAACCUACCCCGAUGACCGGGACAACCCGAGGAAACUCGGGCUAAUACCGGAUGUUCUUCACACACAUCAGUGAGUGGAGCAAAGGAAGCUUCGGCCUCCGCAUCGGGAGGGCCCGCGGCCCAUUAGCUAGUUGGUGAGGUAACGGCNCACCAAGGCUGCGAUGGGUAGCUGGUCUGAGAGGACGAUCAGCCACACUGGGACUGAGACACGGCCCAGACUCCUACGGGAGGCAGCAGUGGGGAAUCUUGCGCAAUGCGCGAAAGCGUGACGCAGCAACGCCGCGUGAGGGAAGACGG
rnacentral:rRNA from 1 species